rnacentral:tRNA from 4 species
CGGGGAUCCUGGAAGACGGUCUGGAUCUCGCGCCGCGCGAGGCGGCGGACCUCUCGUGCGGCAAGCGGCUGACCGUUCCAGGAGAUUGUUCCCCGG